rnacentral:rRNA from 1 species
ACUUGUCCGCCAGAAAAUUACGGGCGAAAGCCUAAAACUCAAAAGACUUGACGGUGUCCCACUCCUGCCUAGAGGAGCCUGUUUCAUAAUCGAUAAUCCCCGCUCAACCCGACCUUUCCUUGAAAUUACCCAGCCUAUAUACCGCCGUCCUUUUCCGCCUACCUUUUGAAAGAUUUACAGUAGGCUCAAUAGUUUAUUAACUAAAAAGUCAGGUCAAGGUGUAGCUUAUGGAAAGGAGAAAAUGGGCUACAUUUUCUUCCACAGAAUACUACGAAAUGUUUUCUGAAAUGAUCACACGAAGGAGGAUUUAGUAGUAAG